UUUGAAAUCCCCCCGGGGAGUUGUAAUUUGAAGAUUGCGUCUUGGAGGCGACCGUGUCUAUGUUCCUUGGAACAGGACGUCACAGAGGGUGAGAAUCCCGUGCGGCACGGCCCCCGGCUCCUUAUAAGGCGCUCUCGACGAGUCGAGUUGUUUGGGAAUGCAGCUCAAAGUGGGUGGUAAAUUCCAUCUAAAGCUAAAUACAGGCGAGAGACCGAUAGCGAACAAGUACAGUGAUGGAAAGAUGAAAAGCACUUUGAAAAGAGAGUGAAACAGCACGUGAAAUUGUUGAAAGGGAAGGGCAUGCCGUCAGAUUGUCAGUGUGGGUAAGAAGCGGGGUACAAAGACUGUGGAACGUGGCCCUCGGGUGUUAUAGCCGCAGUUCAUGCCCCGUCUCUUUCCGAGGCCUGCUUUGAGGACACCGACGUAAUGACGGUACGCC
rnacentral:rRNA from 1 species